rnacentral:rRNA from 1 species
GAUCCUGGCUCAGGACGAACGCUGGCGGCGUGCCUAAUACAUGCAAGUCGAGCGAGCGAAACUAACAGAUUUACUUCGGUAAUGACGUUAGGAAAGCGAGCGGCGGAUGGGUGAGUAACACGUGGGGAACCUGCCCCAUAGUCUGGGAUACCACUUGGAAACAGGUGCUAAUACCGGAUAAGAAAGCAGAUCGCAUGAUCAGCUUUUAAAAGGCGGCGUAAGCUGUCGCUAUGGGAUGGCCCCG